CCUACGGGUGGCAGCAGUGGGGGAUAUUGCGCAAUGGGGGGAACCCUGAUGCAGCGACGCCGCGUGGGUGAAGGAGUAUUUCGGUAUGUAAAGCCCUAUCGGCCGUGAAGAAUUUAGACGGUACCUGUCUAAGAAGCCCCGGCUAACUACGUGCCAGCAGCCGCGGUAAUACGUAGGGGGCAAGCGUUAUCCGGAUUCACUGGGUGUAAAGGGAGCGUAGACGGCCAGGCAAGCCUGGAGUGAAAGCCCGGGGCCCAACCCCGGGACUGCUAUGGGAACUGUGCGGCUGGAGUGAGGGAGGGAAUGGCGGAAUACCCGGUGUAGAGGUGAAAUGCGUAGAUAUCGGGAGGAACACCGGCGGCGAAGGCGGCUUGCUGGCCAGCGACUGACGUUGAAGCUCGAAAGCGUGGGGAGCGAACAGGAGUAGAUACCCUAGUAGUC
rnacentral:rRNA from 1 species